UGAGAUUAUCAUGUUCUUAAUUAGAUUUUGGUUUGAUCAUUUCCCGAGCAGGUUAGAUAGACUACACUGUUAACUGUGGUACUGAUACAUAUAUCUUUGGAGCUAUAACAUUCAUAUCAUCAUCAUCAUCAAGCCUCGCCGAUAAUGUUAAUCUUGUUGUUGCUCGCUCUAAUGUUGGUCGGUCAAGGUCGAACAGAUUUUGAAAUUAACAUACAUCUGAAAAUCAGUGAAACGCAAACUUUCCCGAAGAACUGUGACGACAAGCAAGCCACGGAUCAAGGCAUGAAGGCACAGAACGCACAAGUUGGAUCCCAAUCACCGUGCCCUAAUGAUUCGAACUCACCUUCUCAAAGCGGCAACGUCCAUGUUCAACUGUCUGUUUCAAAACUACUGAAUGCUCUUGGUUAUCCCAAUCAGUCUAACGUGAAUAGUGCAACAACAACCACUACGCCAAAGACGACACAGACAACGAAAAAAACGACAACGACGACGUCGACGACGACGACGACAACCA